rnacentral:rRNA from 1 species
UCCACGCUUUAAACGAUGGAUACUAGGUGUUGGAGGGUUUCGACCCCUUCAGUGCCGUCGCUAACGCAUUAAGUAUCCCGCCUGGGGAGUACGGUCGCAAGAUUAAAACUCAAAGGAAUAGACGGGGACCCACACAAGCGGUGGAGCACCUGGCUUAAUUCGAUAAUGAGCGAGGAACCUUACCUGGACUUGACAUCCUGAGAAUUUUCUAGAAAUAGAAAAGUGCCUUAUGGAACUCAGUGACAGGUGCUGCAUGGUUGUCGUCAGCUCGUGCCUUGAGGUGUUCGGUUAAGUCCGUAAACG